rnacentral:lncRNA from 1 species
AUGUUUUCUGUUGGUGACGGGAGCAGAGGACUGACUACUGGCCUCGCAAGCCCUCUGUGUCCCCAGUGGCUCCCGCGUCCCUCAGCAGAGCGGGGCAGGAGGUGUCCAUGGCGGAUCCUGGGGCCCGAGCUGAGAAGGCUGUCAGGUGGGACUGUGGUGUCCCUGGGUGGGGGGGGGGGAACGGUUGUUACUUCGAGAUUCAGCCUGCAGGGGACUCUCAGUUGGGGUCUCCCAUGUUUGCAGGGGAGGGGCGGUGGCAGUGCGGGCCCCUCUCUCCCCUGCACAGGUAACUACUGCCCAGUCCGGGUGGCUCUACAAGGUUUAGGAUCCAAAGAAGCCCAGAAACAUGAUCUGCACCAGCAAGAAGACUUCCUGUGGAAGGACCUCUUGGUGACAGGACCCUGUGGCUUCUCUGGCUGCCCCCAGGAGAAACGAUCGACCACCAUGAGAAGGACUCCAACACCCCAUCUUCAGAAUCCUCGCCCUUCCAGAAGAGGUGUUGAAUGUCCUUCAUCCUCACUGCCCCCUGAACAGGACCUCGUGGCUUCUCUGGCUGCCCAGAGGUCACCACGAUCAUCCUAA